rnacentral:rRNA from 1 species
UAUACAUGCAAGUCGAACGCGCAGCGAAAGGUGCUUGCACCUUUCAAGCGAGUGGCGAACGGGUGAGUAACACGUGGAUAACCUGCCUCAAGGCUGGGGAUAACAUUUGGAAACAGAUGCUAAUACCGAAUAAAACUUAGUAUCGCAUGAUACAAAGUUGAAAGGCGCUACGGCGUCACCUAGAGAUGGGUCCGCGGUGCAUUAGUUAGUUGGUGGGGUAAAGGCCUACCAAGACAAUGAUGCAUAGCCGAGUUGAGAGACUGAUCGGCCACAUUGGGACUGAGACACGGCCCAAACUCCUACGGGAGGCUGCAGUAGGGAAUCUUCCACAAUGGGCGAAAGCCUGAUGGAGCAACGCCGCGUGUGUGAUGAAGGCUUUAGGGUCGUAAAGCACUGUUGUAUGGGAAGAAAUGCUAGAAUAGGGAAUGAUUCUAGUUCGACGGUACCAUACCAGAAAGGGACGGCUAAAUAC